rnacentral:lncRNA from 1 species
AGUAAUUUUGUCGCUAGUUACUGUAUUACUGGAAAAUGUAUUCCUAGGCUUUAAGAUUUGGGAAGCGUGUGAGUCUAACUUCUCAAACAGAAUUUGACAAGGACGUAGCAGUGUUUUAAAAAGUCAGGGAAAGGAAAGAGGUGUGUUCAGCAUUCCUGCCCCAUCUUAACAUAUUCUUUUUCUCGUCUUAACAGUGGUAAUAUUUUAUGUUAUUUUGGUUUGAUUUUUGUUUGUGGCAUAUGGCUCUGCUGUCCUGUGACUCUAAGUAGAAGAGAAAAUAGUGCCAAUAAUUCUUCAUGGAGAUGCACCUCUCUCAAGUCUUGAACAAUGUUUGAGGAAAAGUGCUUUCAGCUGGGCUGAUGAGAACACCUUGGCACUCUUUCCUGCAAUGGGCACUGAUUGAGGGUCUUCCUGGUGUGGCAUCAUCAAAUCCCUGUUGCUCAAACCCACUAAUUAGCUCAUUCUUAUCUACAAGUAGCAGGGGCCCUAAAGCUCUCUGAGAAGAUCUCAUACUGUGUCUCCUACAUUUCAUCUUCUAUAAUCUCUUAUUCUUAGAGACAGAAAGAUGGUUAAAAGACAUCACUUCAUUUCUUUCUCUGGAUUUGGAAAGAGUUAUAUAUUGGGAUUAUGCUGUUAGUUUACACUUGCAUUGUUUAAAUUAGAGGAAAGGUUAUUUUGUGCAGAACAAAUAAAAAUUACUCUUUAACUACCUUUCAGAAUAUCCCAACUUUUAACAUAAGCUGUUUUGUAAAGGCUGGUUGUAGUGA